GCAGGAAUACCCAAGUGGUUGAAGGGGCAGGCUUGGAAAGCUUGUAGAUCGGUAACACGGUGCCAGGGUUCAAAUCCCUGUUCCUGCGCCA
rnacentral:tRNA from 1 species